GAUGAAGAACGCAGCGAAAUGCGAUAAGUAGUGUGAAUUGCAGAAUUCAGUGAAUCAUCGAAUCUUUGAACGCACAUUGCGCCCUUUGGUAUUCCUUAGGGCAUGCCUGUUCGAGCGUCAUUACAACCCUCAAGCUCAGCUUGGUGUUGGGCCCCGCCGCCCCGGCGGGCCCUAAAGUCAGUGGCGGUGCCGUCCGGCUCCGAGCGUAGUAAUUCUUCUCGCUCUGGAGGUCCGGUCGUGUGCUCGCCAGCAACCCCCAAUUUUUUUCAGGUUGACCUCGGAUCAGGUAGGGAUACCCGCUGAACUUAAGCAUAUCAAUAAGCGGAGGA
rnacentral:misc_RNA from 1 species